UACGGGGGGGGGCAAGCGUUGUUCGGAAUCACUGGGCGUAAAGGGUGCGUAGGCCGCACGGUAAGUCAGAGGUGAAAUCCCGGAGCUCAACUCCGGAAUUGCCUCCGAUACUGCCGUGCUUGAGGACUGGAGAGGAGUCUGGAAUUCACAGUGGAGCAGUGAAAUGCGUAGAUAUUGUGAGGAACACUAGUGGCGAAGGCGAGACUCUGGACAGUUCCUGACGCUGAGGCACGAAGGCCAGGGGAGCAAACGGG
rnacentral:rRNA from 1 species